AGGGUGCAAGCGUUAAUCGGCACAUUCUGGGCGUAAGGGUGCGCAGGCGGUUAUAUAAGACAGAUGUGAAAUCCCCGGGCUCAACCUGGGAACUGCGUUUGUGACUGUAUGACUAGAGUACGGUAGAGAGGGGUGGAAUUCCUGGUGUAGCAGUGAAAUGCGUAGAUAUCAGGAGGAACAUCGGUGGCGAAGGCGCCCCCUUGGACCUGUACUGACGCUCAGGCACGAAAGCGUGGGGAGCAAACAGGAUUAGAUACCCUGGUAGUCCACGCCCUAAACGAUGAUCACUAGUUGUUCGGAAAGGUGACUUUCUGAGUAACGUAGCUAACGCGUGAAGUGAUCCGCCUGGGGAGUACGGUCGCAAGAUUAAAACUCAAAGGAAUUGACGGGGACCCGCACAAGCGGUGGAUGAUGUGGAUUAAUUCGAUGCACCGCGAAAAACCUUACCUACCCUUGACAUGCCUGGAAGAUCGCAGAGAUGUGAUUGUGCCUUCGGGAA
rnacentral:rRNA from 1 species